rfam:Ornithorhynchus anatinus chromosome 1, whole genome shotgun sequence.
CCCUUCUCAGAAUCGUACCUGGAGAAUUUCCAGUAUUCUACCAGACGCGGCUACGGGAGGGAGGGUCAAGCGGAGGCAUAUCAGUUCCAUUCCUAGCUUGGGCAGUGGCUAGUGAGCGGAAGACGAUCUGUUACAAGU